AGGGUUUGAUCCUGGCUCAGAUUGAACGCUGGCGGCAGGCCUAACACAUGCAAGUCGAGCGGUAACAGGGAUAGCUUGCUAUCUGCUGACGAGCGGCGGACGGGUGCGUAACACGUAGGAAUCUACCCAGUAGCGGGGGAUAGCCCGGAGAAAUCCGGAUUAAUACCGCAUACGCCCUAAGGGGGAAAGCAGGGGAUCUUCGGACCUUGCACUACUGGAUGAGCCUGCGUCGGAUUAGCUAGUUGGUGGGGUAAAAGCCUACCAAGGCAACGAUCCGUAGCUGGUCUGAGAGGAUGAUCAGCCACACUGGGACUGAGACACGGCCCAGACUCCUACGGGAGGCAGCAGUGGGGAAUAUUGCACAAUGGGCGCAAGCCUGAUGCAGCCAUGCCGCGUGUGUGAAGAAGGCUCUAGGGUUGUAAAGCACUUUCAGCGAGGAGGAAAGGGGUUGAGCUAAUACCUCAGCUCUGUGACGUUACUCGCAGAAGAGGCACCGGCUAACUCCGUGCCAGCAGCCGCGGUAAUACGGAGGGUGCGAGCGUUAAUCGGAAUUACUGGGCGUAAAGCGUACGUAGGCGGCUACUUAAGUGGGAUGUGAAAGCCCUGGGCUCAACCUGGGAACUGCAUCCCAAACUGGGUAGCUAGAGUGCGAGAGAGGAGUGUGGAAUUUCCUGUGUAGCGGUGAAAUGCGUAGAUAUAGGAAGGAACACCAGUGGCGAAGGCGACACUCUGGCUUGACGCUGACGCUGAGGUACGAAAGCGUGGGGAGCAAACAGGAUUAGAUACCCUGGUAGUCCACGCCGU
rnacentral:rRNA from 1 species